GAUCAACAACUCAGGAAAAUACUCAACUUGAAAGAGAUUAGUGAAUGUGGACUCGAAAGGUCUAAGACAGAGAAAGAAGUUGCUGUAGAACACUUUUGCAAAACAGUGGUCUCCAAAGAGCCAUGAAACAGCUUGCUGAUUUUUGAAUUUCUGGGUUUAUUACAAAUGACUACAUAAAAGCCGUGUGGUAAGAAACGAACUUCUGGUAACAGAUGGUGGAAAAUCACCAGUAAGACCCAAACCUAACAGAGACUGCUUCUGGAGCCAUGGUUCUCACUAAGGGUUAUUAGCAUCAUUCUUUGAUGAUGGGCAUUGAGGCAUCAGAACUCAUGGAUAUCACAGUUCCUGUGUGGAGAGGAAGCUUCAGAUGGUGCUCUUGCACAGACGGGACUGCCAUUCCCAUUUUAGUGGAUCUCUUAAAAGUUCGAAUGGCUCCUCUAAUGCCUGAUGUGAAUGGAACCUUUCUCUCUGCUUCAGUCAAGAAUCUGGUGACAAAGAAGCUUCAUCCUUUCAAUCUUACAAUUUCAAUCUCCUAUCUCAAGAAAGCUCAUUUCUAUGUAUUACCAGUGCAUCCUCCACAUGCUCUUCUGCAGUUGUUCCUUCUGCGGGAAAUGAUCUCUCCUUUUGUCGAGGCUUGGUGAAAUCCUUUGAAAUUCUGUUGAUUCUGUAAGAGCCAACACAAAUACCAACUGCCCUGAAUACUUUCUGGCUAAACUGCCACAAUGAACGAGGAUUCCUCACCCAUGUCCCUCCCUUUCCCUUCCUUUCUUUUUAUAAUGGUAUGCUUAUUGUUUUUUAAUGUAACAUUUUUCUUACAAAAGGAAUACACAUUCAGUGUUAAAAUGGAAAUGUAGAAAAGUCUUCAGAAGAAA
rnacentral:lncRNA from 1 species